AUUUGAAAUCUAACAAUUGGAAAAAAAUUGAAAUACAAGAUGGAUAGAAAAAUGAGAAAAGAGAUCCGGGAGCAUGCGAUCGAAGGAACGAGCUAAUCUUCGAUUCCGUUCGAAUAUCAGUCCGGUCUGUUAGGUUUAAUUUCGUUAAUCAGGACGCGUCUCGAUCGAACGAGCUUCGUGAGCGGAGCCGAAAGGAGAAAGGCAUUCUCCGUCGUCCGUGGCCGCUGCAUCCGCGCCAAAACUCGCAAAACGCCGCGGCGCGGUGGCGACGGUGGCGAUAGGUAAAAGAUAGAGUAAGAGAGAAAGGGAGGGGAGGGGAAGAAAGAACGGCAGAAGCAACCCGGCCUGGUCUCGUAUAUAGCGCGGCGAGGUGGGAAACUAGACCGUGACGAAUCACGGUCGGCGACUGCGCCGCUCUGACGUCACGUCGCGAAGGGCGAACCGUCGCAAGUGUUCGUGAUUGGGCAUCUUUUAUCCUCGUCCUGCGCCCAGCCGCCGCCGCCGCCGCGAUAGCGCAACGGGGACGAAUCGAAUUAAUACGAUUGCCACUUCCGAACACCGUCGCUACCACGGUCCGGCAUCGCUUCAAUGGAUUCACGAGCUUCGUGACCUCGAACGAUCUCGAUUUCUUUCGCGAAUAGUUUCAACUUAGCUCCAGUUAGCUCAAAAUAUUAUUCAAUUCUACAUCGUGAUACGAUCGCACGCAGUGGAAGAAUAAUAACGGACAUUAAAGAUCGUAAUUUUACAAAUAUUUAUAAACGAUCUACCAUAAAAUUUUCCACUACACUAUAAUAUAGUCAUUAUAAAUAAAAAUAAUGAUCUAAUUGCGCGUAACACGUUAUGAUCUUAAUAUUAUUCUUUCUAUUGGCUAUAAAAUAUAGGCUGUUAAAUUGUUGAUGCUUUUUCGGAUAGAUAACGCAACAAGUUUUUCUUCGAUUCUAAAUUUACUAUCCGAAUAAAAAGGAUGGGAAUAUUUUUAAGGAUUUGUGAAUAAUUUCCACGAAAUCGUGUUAUGGUGGCACGACAGGGUUAGUGACCCUAAUAGCAGGUACGAAUCAUUGCUCAGAGAUUACGUCAUAUAGUAGCGCCAUAUAAUACACUAUAUCGUGCAAUACAUAAAACUUAUCCAUCUAUUCAAUUUAAACGAGAAUAUACGCAGAUCAAUUUCGUUUCUAAAACGACAUUCCAACGAUCAAAAAGAUUCGUAUCUACACAAAAUCUCAAAAUAUACACAUAUAUACGUUCUCCUAAUAACGCGUAACAAAGCAUAGGCAUUAAAAAAACAAUAAAGCUAAAAACAAACAAAAUCCUUUAUUAUAUAGCUCGAUUCUCGUACGAUCUAAAUCAGUAGAGGCGCGCUUUAGGAACGUUUGGCGCGGUCGAGCAAGAGCGUCGGGAGUUCGAUCCUAAAAGCGGUGGCGAGCAAGUGGGCUGGCAAGCGAGAGCGGGGUGCUUGGCCCUGGCAGCGAGAUUGUGGCACAGAAACGCGUUCGCCUCGAAGGAACGCUGUCGUUCGUUUCGCGCGUGUGAGCGUGAGCACGUACGUGUGUAUAUAUAUACAUAUACGUGUUCACGAUGUAUCGCGCGCGCGCACACCACAUCGCGAUCCAUCCGGCGAUUUCGUCGUUUCGAGCUGCUUCCGGCGCUGAUACGGGGAUUUUCGAGGAGAAACUCGUGUGGCUGCCUCGUGUACGGACCAUUCGUGCAUGUUCGUUCGAGCGGUCGCGCGCGCAAUUACGUCAGCCGCGUAACGCCGUGCAAACCGAUCGCGGCGCGCUUUUAGCGCGCGUGUUUCGUAAGCGCGAAAGAUCGCAGCGUCACGGCACGGCCUUAGACGUUUGUUCACGUAUCGAGCGUGUCCUUAUAGAACGGCAAAGGACGCGAGUUUCUCGCAUGGCCGGUGUUCGAGGCCGAUCGAAUAUACCUAUCCCACUCUCAUUAAUAAUCGAUUCGUAUCGACGUUCUACGAACAUAUAUAUAUAUUCUUCUAUCCAAUAAAGACGUUUGUAAUUGUUGUUUAUAAUUGUCGUUAUUGUUGGAGUAUUUUUUAUUAGUUAAAGCCAGAUGACAGGGUGUUUAGAUAGUUAAAGAGUAACGAUAAUAGGCAAAGGCGGGAUACAGCCAAGGGCUGCUUUGUAACCCAACCUCGUGUUUACGUAAGUGGAGAAUUUAACGUUGCAUAACGUACCCGUCGAAGUAGUAUUCGGUAUGACAAAUAUUGAGAUUUCGUGCAAGGUAUCGCGAGACUUUUAACACAGGAAAAAUGAUAAAUAAUGUGGGCAUAAUUGGCAUAUAUGAAAGCUACUUAAUGCAUCGAUAAUAUAAAACUAAAAAUAAAAUGGCCACCACUGCGGAAUGUUUUCUUCGGUCACGCUACGACAAUUAUUUAUAAACUUUUCAUCCCAAACUUACGAUUGAUGGAAAAUGGAAGAGCGUAGUAGUGAUUGUCGUAAAAAAGGGGUCGAUAUACUUUUUUUAAGAUUUUUGAAAAACAUGAAUAUAUAUAUAUAUAUAUAUCGGUAUGAUUUCUACUUUGUCAAUUUCGAAUCAAUAAGGGAGAAUUAUUAACGACAAAAGAUUCAGCAAACUCAAUUUGUUCUAAUGUUUAACGAUCUUAAUUCCGCAUUAAUGUUCCGCGGUACGGAAUUAGCCGCGUGCUUGUUCGGUUACUCAGCGAGUUAAGCAGCUUACCGGCCAGAAUUUUAGUCGAAUACAACGGACAACGGUUCCUGGCUGAAUAGGAAUAUCGUGAAAAGGUAAAAAAAAAAGAGAAGCGUAUCGCGUAAAUCAUACGAUAAAUCGGAAAGUAAUAACAGUCAAGAGUAUUUGAAGCGGUAUGGAAUUGAAAAACAAGAGGUUUCCAGAGGUGGCUCACGCGACGUCGCGUCGGAAACGCGCCGAUAAAGAUAGCCGCACGCUAUUAAUGUCCUCCUGCUCUUAAUUAACGUUAAUUAAUACGUUCAGUCUGAAUCUAUUUGUCGGUCUCUAAUAAAGCCUGUUACGGCCAAUUUUAAUCGGUAUAAUACCAGACUGCACUUUUUCCUGUCUCUUGAUUCCGGCCUAAGAAGAAUCGAGUUUUACCCUUUCCUCUUCAAUUCGUGAUUUUUAAUCCAAUUCGACAAAAAAAAAUAAAUAAAAAUAUAUCCACGAUCGAUAAUAUGAUAUGAUUUAACAAAUUAUCAUAUUAUACGCGACAAAAAUAUUUGUCAAACCCGUUAAAAAUUUCGGGCCGGAUAUACGUUGUAUGGUGGCGCGCCACCAAUUACUAAUUAGCAAUUACGUAAAGCGAGCCGUUCCACCGCAAAUUCAGUAGAGGCAUCAGAGCCAUACCGGGUCCACCCUAAAGUCGGUCCUUGGUCAUUAGACCCGGUGAGCGCAUUAACCUCGAACCCAUUCCUGGCCCAUCGCCUCGUGCGCGCCGCCUCUCUAUGCCCGUAUAUAUACACCCAUACUAGAGACGCGGCUGAACGCGCCUGCCUACGAUAUAGGUGGAGCAGGCUAAGCGACUCUGUCGGACGCAUAACGAGCCACGACUUUACGGUAGUCUCCUUCGUCGCACGACUCGCUAAUUCUUCGCUCGGACGCGGUUAGCGGCGGGCACUACCUCCCCCCUCCCCCCUCCGAUUGUACGGGUGCACGCAUGCAUACAAUCAACGCGCGCGUACACGUACAACGCGAGCGAGCGAGCGAGGAUAAGCACGGACACGAUUAGAUGUAAUUGUGCGUAGACGCAAACAUAGGUGAAUCUCUGGACGACACGAGCAAUGAUGUAAGGGCAACUAUGCACAGGUCGAUUUGUCGUUGGAAUCGAUUCACGGGCAGAUCGUUCGGAUGCAAUGAAGUAACAAUGGAUUUAACGAUAGGUGAUAUAUAUAUAGUAUAUAUAGGAUCUAUAUAGUUACGUUCGACAUGCACUAUAUAUAUAUAUAUAUACAUUGGACGCAGCGCGUCUUUUUCUCACGCGAGCCCGGCGCGGUCCACCUCGUGUACACAGAGAUAUGGGCGCGCACACAAGCGAGCGCGAGAGAGUGUGAAAUAACGCGAGGUGAUGGUAGAGGACAAAGGCUGAGCGCGACGCGAGUACUAGGGACUAGGCAGGAACCAGAGUGUUCGUGCGCUGAACGAGCGAGAGACACGGGGCCGUGCGACCCACGGGGGAAGGGGGGGGGGAGAGGGGGCAGGAGAAAGGGGAACAGAGUCGAGGGGGCUUCUUCUCCCUCGCCGCCACUUCGAGGGAAAAGGAGGGUGACCGAAACGAAGGGGGAGAUCGGUGGGAUGGAUCGAGAAAGCGAGGGGGAAAGAGAGAGAUAAACGGAGAGGGAACGAAACGGUACGAAAUGGGCGGGAAAGAGAGAGGUCCGAGGUAGGCGAGGGAGGGAAAGGGACGGGGACGGAGCGCGAACGCGAACCCGCGGGUUCUAUGCCAUUCGGUCGGUUCGGUGAGUCACGCAUCGCGAGCUUCCUGCUGCCAGGCCUCUGCUUUCCCCUCACGUCCCACCCUUUGAACCGCGCCGGACCCCUUGGUUCGCGUCUCGCGCCACUGUUAUCCUCCCCCGUCCCCAAUCCUCCCGGGCUCCCGCCCGAUCCCUUUUGUCUGACGUUCGUUCGUCCGACCGACCGACCGACCGUUCGACCGUCACCCGCAGGGUUAAGGGUCUUCUAAAGAGGAUGCUUCUCUCUCGUCUCUCUCUCUCUCUCUCUUUCUCUUUCUCCUUUUCCCUCCCCGGUGUCUUGUCAGCGUCUCUGCUCUCUUCUCUUUGUCUAUCCAACUCCGUCUGUGCUGCUUUCUCUCUCUCUCUUUCUCUCUCCAAGUUGCCAACACUGGUGCGCCUCCGGUAGGUGAGUUAGCGACGGUGGUAGUCGGUUGCCUGCUGAAAGAUUCGAAAGAGAUCCAGACUUGGCGUUUCAAAAGAACGUCGCGUAUUUUCGGCGGAUUGAAAACGCGCCGGUGUGCAACGCGGCAUCUGCUGCCCUCGGGAUGGGAGAGAGAACCGGAGCCACGAAAGAACGAUGGUAUAUAGUAGCGCGCAGCUAGGGUUGUACAAUGGCUGAAACGCUUAAACGCGGCGACACGAACGUCAAGACCCACUCUCCGGAAAUCUAUAGCGUCAUCGUAUCGAUCGUUCCGCGAACUAGUUUUCCUUUAAGCUCGGCUAACGUCUGGCUUAAUCGACCGGAGAUGCGGUUGUUAAUUGUAUAAAAAUGAGAAUUUUACACCGAGUUCCAUGGAUUCUUGAUUAAUUGCGCGAUGGAUCACGGUUAUCCAGAUGUAAAUCGAACUCUUUUCUCUUAGUAUCGUCGUUGAAAAAGUUGGUCGACCGUGUCCCUAUUUAUCAUGAGCCGCGGCGACGCCUCCCGUACAUCGAUGCGUUCUGCCGGCCUCUCGAAUGUAUAAUGAGCACUGGGUGGCUCGAAUUCGAUAAGAGUCGGUUAGGCGGUGCUUCGGAAUGACGUAUCACCGCGCGAGAUUAAUAGUAGCCAUGUAUACGUACACAGACAUGGCCACACGCGAUCGCGCGUAGUCUCUGACCGACCUGGCUCAACUUCGACAAGCAAAUUCUUUCACGCGAAUCUCUAGUUAAGUCUUUCUUUCGUCGAACGCAUAAUCGAAAUCUAGUCUCGUCUUGACAUUUACGCGAAUGUCAAGUUUCACACAUCUUCGAAUACGAUUAUCAAACGAUAACGAGAUCAAUCAAGUAUACACAUAUACAUACGAAAAGUAGCGUAGAUUAUCUAUUCAGAAAAUUUAUAUAAUACAAGCUAAAGAAAUUUCAUAAAUGUUUUUUUAUUCGACGUGAGGUGUCCGAAUAAUGAUUAUUGACAAAUAUGUUCCAAUACUUUCGAACAUUUCAGGCUUCUCCCCUUGUGAUAAUCGUAAAUCCCCUACCUCAAAGUGAGCGGUCCGCAAUACACAGGAUUUUUUGCGCCGCUUAGUCACUGCGCGCCGCGACCGAUGACGGUUAUGUUCGAGCGACGACCAAGUUUGUGUGUAUGCGCGAGAUGCGCGCACACAGUGGCGCGCGACCACGCGUUUGUCGGCAAAACUUCGCGUGGUAAACGCGCUUCUUUGUGCCAAUGACGUAGUAGAAGAAACCUGCGUCUAUAUAUCCUCAAAGUUUAUCAAUCACUGAUCAAAACAUCGCAAAUUUUUCCUAUAUCGAUUUUAUCCGUAUCGACGAAAUUGAUGAUUCCAGUAUAUCUUGAGAAGAGCGACGAGUGUCCAAUACAUGAAAAUAUAUCAUUACACGAAACGUGCACACACACACAGAGUUAAAUUUAAUGAUUCAUGUCGCGAAAAUUUGUCAGACCAUUUCGAUUCGCAAGACAAAUAAAUUGAAUUUUAUUAAAUUUUAUACGAUUAAGACGAUAGAAAGAUAAAAAAAGGAACGGACGGACAGAAAUAGCGAACGCAACAAAGAAAUUGUUGACGAGAUCGGAAGAAGCGGGUAUAUCCGGUCAAACCGGGCAGCUUGGUUCGGAGAACGUAGUAAAUUCUUGUCGCGUCGUUUCGCCGCGAUAGGACGAGCAUUGAGAGCAGUCGAACGUCGCUCGGACGCGAACGGGCAAGCCGCGAGCGACAUAUCCGGAUCGUGCGAGGCAAACGAAAACACCGCGAGUCAACAUUUGUACGUACAUACGUACACGCGCGCGCGCGCGCGCACAGCGUACACACAAAUGUGACGGGUUAUUUUAUAUAUAUAUAUAUAUAUAGUUAAGUUAUACAUAAGUUGGGUUGACAGUCAAUGAAGGUUAGUCUUCUAUACGCGUCGUGAGAGCGGCGUGAUGUAGCUUUUACGGGCCCCUCGGGCCACACGAUCGUCGAUCGCUGUGGCAUGCGGGUCCCGCGAGGAGAGCACGAGAGGUGGAAGUGUCGCACGCAGCGGCGACCAGCUGCUCUCCUCACGAUGUGCCACAGGGCGUCGUCGCGUCGCGUCCUUUUCUUUCUUCCCUCUUCUCAUCUUAUCCUCCUUUUUCCUUCCUUUCUAUAUCCUUUCUGGACAUUCCCGUUCCCCCUAACGCGUGCUGUGCGUGCGUGCGUGCCUGCCUGCCUGCGUGCGCGAACUCAAGUUCGCACAAAGGGGAUAUGGGUAUAUAACGCGACGGAGGCCCUCCGUAGUAGUGGUCAAUAUACAACUACGCGGCAACGUCGCGCCACGACGCGUUGCUUUCCUGGUAUACGUUAUCGCCGCAGUCGCUUCACGAGAGCCUCCAUGCGCACACGUAAACACGUACACAUUUACUUACGGAACGCAUCGUACAUACUAGCAUGUAUCUCGUAUACGGACAGGCGGAUACUACACACGGGGAUAUAUAGGUGUAUAUGUACCUGGGCCUGCCUGUCGAUCCCUCGGGGUUCGCUUCUCCUCGCACGUACACGCGAAGUCGUGGCAAUGCCAGAACGAGCGAGCGAGCGAGCGAACGAGCGAGCCAGCCAGCCAGCCGCGGCGGCACGGAUGCGCCCUGCUUACGUAUACACCGGUCCUUCUCUCCGUCUCGCUUUCGCCAACCGGUCCUUCCUCUUCCUACGACCGAGGCCUGGCAAUAUAAGCCGAGUAAUAUUACCGCGGGAAGAGCGGUAAGGUAACAGAGAGCCGCUGCUACGGACCGUUCCUUUCGAGAAUUUACGAGCACCACGGUCCGGGUGCCCGGAGACCGACCCUUCCCUUCUCUCUCGCUCUCUUGCGCUAUCUCGCUCUAUAUACCCUCGUCUCGCGUGUAUAACGUAGCUGCGAAACGGCACCGCACGGACCGUCAGCGUUUCCGUGCUAUGCUUGGAACUUGGGCUCGCUAUGCAUCUCGAAUCUACGCGCUUCCAUGCGGUACGCGUUCACGAUUGCCAGACGAUGGACAUCCUUAUUAGCAGCGAGAAGUUGGCGAUGGUAAAAGCGAGUUGCUUUGCUUCAUAAAGAUAUAUAUGUAUAAUUGGAGUGUUUACGCGUAAAAGCGUUCCGAAUUAACCACUGCGCACGAAUACAAACGAAUCAUUUAUGCGAAGGGUAACAGUAUUCUCCAUUGGUGUACGUUAUGUGUAUAAUAGUUAUUGGAUGUUUCUAUAUGGAAUCGAACCGCACUUCAUACCAUUCAUGUUUCUGUGUCGAUGGAUCAAUGGCGGUGUUUCCGUUGUGAAACGCUCGCGGUUUUCCCUUCCCAUAUCGAUAACGAACAUCUGUAUUUGAGAUAAAGAUAAGGAAAAAAUGGCGUGAAGAUACAGUAUUGAUAGACAAUUUGGCGUAACUUGUACGUAAAAAUUGAAUCAAACGAUAUAUAUCGAUUUCAAUCUUGAUACAUUUCACAUGCAAGUUUUUUGGACAGUUGUACAUUUUCUCUUCCGUUCAAUCUUGUUGAUUUUCAAGAUCAUCGAAUUUGCUACAGUUGGCGAAGGGAAGAGAUUUCUUUCGGUCGGUGCUAAACCGGCUCUCUUUUAAAACACCCAAAAUGUUUCAUACUGCGCAAACUUGCGCGCAUCUUGCACGCGUGCUUCUAUUUGCUCGCAUUUGAUCGCGCGCAUGUAUACGCCACGCAGACGGAAAAAACGUAAUGGGCGAUGAGAUAAGAAGGGGAGGGAUGGAGGACAAAGAUGGACACGAGAAAGUACGCGAGCAAAAGAAAGAAAAAAAAAAAAAAAGAUAAGAAAAAGACGUGCGAGCGAUCGAGCAUAACAACACCAACGAUGGCGAGGACGGCGAUGAAUUCGAUUUAAACCAGUUUUUACAAGAUCGAUUACUAGGUAUGAGAGGAUCGACAUGUGGAAAUUAACGUUUCGUUGCGCGGUACGAUAAUCUAUGACAUUUUAAAAGUUAAGGUGGUAUUUAGACCUGGUCGACACAGUUUAAGUCGCCUCAGUUUCCCCGAUUAACCGGCUUCUAUUUAAAUUUCAGCGCGUCCCUUGCGCGCUUAUUACACGUACAUAGAAGAUGUUGCCCAGACGGAAUAUAAAAAAAGAGAAGAGAAGAAAAAAGAGCGAGAAAUGCGUACGCGGUAAACGUACGUAAGAACGAUGAGAAUGAUGAAAUCCAGCGAAACGAAGAAUACUACAACGACAAGGAUGACAACGAGGACGACGACCAUGAUGACGACAACGCAACGACAACGAUGAGGACGGUCGCAAAUGGCGGUGGCGGUGACGGCGAAACGCGACGCGACGCGACGCGGCCCGGACUCGCGGACCCUCACAUCCUGUCUAUGACAGGAUGGCUGAUGGCUGGUUGGCUGGCCGGCCAGUCUGUCGGUCGGCUUGGCAGGGCCCUACCCACGGUACAUGUGCCAGUGCCCUGUUCGUGCCGCCGCGUAUACGCUACCCUCCUCGCUUCGCCUCUGUCUCCCAUGCUCCCUUUACGCUUAUCCCUGCGCGUCUCACGGAGGCCUGUUACUCUUUCUCUCGGUAAAGAACGAAGAACCUCGAUCGGAGGCAUUUUUUCUUUACUGGCACAGCCGGCCACCGUCGCGGCAGUCACCGCCACCAUUGCCGACGCCACGCCACGGUAUCGAAUCGUCUCGCCACGGGGUACGUAUGGACGGAGAACGCGAGACGGAGAAAGAAAGAAAGAAAAAAAAGAAGAUAAAAAGAACGAGCGGUGAAACGGCUAGAAGCGGGACGAAGAUCGCGAGACAUGCGGGGAAUCGAGUUAAAGGGAGCGAGAGAGAGAGAGAGAGAGAGAGAGAGGGAGCGAAGUGGAAAGAGCGAAAGAGAGAGAAGGGUGGAAUAAGGUGGGGCGGCGCUUUCCAAUCGCGAAGCGAGGCUCCUCGCGUUCCGACGACGAUCGAAAAAGGUGAGACGUGCCGAAGGGGAUAUAGGCGCGGACAAUGAAGCGGAUGAGAGCGACGCAGACCGAGCCACUAAAGUCUGACGGAGCAUGAGCUCGUGGGAGAAAGAAAGAUGGAUAGAGCGCGACCGAGCAGAGUGUCGGAGGCAGAAGGAAACGCUAGGGCGGGAAAGAGAGGGGACAAGGCGAGAACGUGACGAGACGACGGAGGGAGCCGAGGGGAUCGCGGACGGUCGAGCGACGACGAUUUGGCAACGGCUUUUAUGGCUUUCGUUGCGAUCGGCUGGAAACGGCACUGCACACCACGCUGCUGGCGGACGUUGAUGCCUCUCCUCGUGUCGAUAGUACGCGUCUGGUGUACGUAUUUCGGAAAUGAGGCCGGUGCGUAUUCUGAAAACGAAGAAAACGCCGCGCGCGGUAGACGGAGAGGGGAUGCAAAUGCUCUUUUGGCCGCGCAGCGUUAUACCAGUCGCUAAUGUCGGUAUUAGGGUCAAUAGUGCUAGCAGACACAAAUUAAGUCCUGCUCGCGACAGCGUCGCCGAACGUUUAUCGCGACCAAGAAUAAUGAUUUGAUUACGUAAAUCGUGUUAACGGUUCUCGUAAUCCAUCGAUAUAUCUCUUUUCUUAAUUUUUUUUUUUAACGAAAUAUUUCUCGAUUCGUCGAAUAUUUAAUUUUUCGCAUUCUCAUUCUUCCGUGUAUUUAUAGCGAUGUCAUAAUUCGAGGAAAGAAAUUGCGAGAAAGCUGUGUUGGGAAAAUAUGGUAUUCGUUUUUUAAAUACAGAACGAGUGACGUAAGAGAAAGAUGGAAAGAAUCGGCAGCGUGAUGUCGAACGAGAGAGCGGAGGACACAUCCGGUUGUCUCGGAUUGACCGGGAUCGGUCGCGGUAAAGGAAAUCCGAACCCUUGAGAGCGAAGACGAGAGCGAGAGCGCUGCGAGGGCCUAUAUUCACAGACGUACCUGCGGGAAACUGUAACUACCGGCAGACUGGAAGUAUUAUGAGAGAAGGGUGGGAAGGUGGGGAGAAGCUGGAGUGCAAGAGAGAAAGUGGGAGGCGGAGAGAGAAAGAGGACGGGAGGAGGGAGAGAGAAUAAACUGGGUCAGUGUCGCGGAACUUGAAAACUUCGCUUCCGUAAUGUGAGAGCGGCGCUGACUGCCGCCUGGAAGUCGCUUAAACUGCGUUUACGAGUCGGCGGUAGGUAAAACAGAAACACCUCGAGAACUCGAGUCGAGUUAUACCUAGUUAUGUGUAUAGUUGUCUAUAUGAAAGCGGUAUACGUAUCUGCUAUGUGUGUGUGUUUUAUAUAUAUAUAUAUGUAUGUAUGUAUGUAUACGUAAUAUACAGUGUACGGAACCGGGAAAGAGACAGAGCGAGAAAGCGAAUCAGAGAAAGAGGAAAAAGGAGAGAAUCGAGUCAGUGGAAGACAUGUACGAAUGUACAAACUAAAACCCGCCUUUCCCCGCGCACAAUCGAGGAGUCUCGUUUGUUAUACCGGCAUUUCCACUGGCGUGCUUCAUUGUACACAAGUUUUCUCCCCACGUGCGCGCUGUAUUAUAUCGCGAACGUUUCCCGCCACGAUUCAAUGUCAACCGCUACGCGACUAUACGUCGAACGCAAGGAACUGGCGGAAGGUCUGACAAGGUCACUAUUCCACGCGUUCGUUUGACGCGCCGAAGGAGAAAGUUCGCUCGUGAAUAACGCGUCGAUCGCGUUGAAAAAAAAUUAGCCGCGAUGUCGAUUAUUUCCAACUUGAAAUUUUUUCCGCUCAAUGGUAAAUAAUCGAAGGUAUAUAGUACAGCUUUCACUGAACAUUUGCAUUUUGCUUUAAUAACCGAGAUGUGUGUUCUAUUCCUGCGAAAAACCGACGAGGGAAAAUGUUCGAGAGAACGGGAAGGGACACGAACACACGAUAGCAUGGAUAAGAGGGAAGGGAAAUGCGCGCCCACGUAUAAACGCGUAUAUCGUGCACGUAAGCCUGAAAACACGGUGGCGUUAGCGCUUGUUGACGCAGAUAAACCGUCGGCGUAAUGUUAUAUUUAUAGUCUUUUCUUGUUCGCGGCUCGUUUUUUUUUUUUUUUCUUUAUUUCUUUCGAUUUUCAGAAUGAAUUUUUCGAAAGUUUUACGCUCUUCGUCGAGUUAUACUCGAGAAACGAUUUCGCAAGAAAAACGUCCAAGAUAAGAAAAAUUCGAAAUUGAGAAAUCUAUUCGGAUACGAAAUCUUUUUGUUGUUAUCGCGGUACAAUCGAUAAUCGCUAAUUACUGGCGCGCUUUAUUUUCGAUUUUCAACAUUCUACGCGUAUUCGACCGAACUAAGGUGGGAAUGACGAAAAUAAGAAUAGUGUUGGUGCGUUCGAUAAACCGCCAUCUUUCACCGGUGGAGACCGUUUUACACGCGAACGUGAUCGCAAGACUAAAAAUUAGGGAGCGCGAAAGCGUGGGUUAAAAAAGGGGCGAUGAGAUCACGGUAGCUCGAGCUCGGUUCGCGUCGCAACCUUACUUCGCAAGCGGGUGCCGUUAAGCACGUCUGGGUCUAAAUAACCUCUGGUAUAUCGAACCGUGCCAGAGAAUCCGCGAGCGGAGGACCCGCGAGUGACCGUGCGCGUCGCCAACCACGAAGGUCUCGCUCGCAAUUGCGAUCUCGUUUUCUCGUUUAAUAACUAAAUCAGGGAGACAAGACGCAGGAAAAAAAAAAAAAAAGAAAAGGCGAUGAAAAUUAUAAAAGAAAAGAGGAAAAAAAAAAAUGUUAAGAAGAUAUAAUUGAUAGGGCACAUCUUUAUAUACAUACGUAUAUAUAAAAUGCUUGUAUCUAUAUAUAUAUAUAUAUGCAUACAAGGGCGAUUGUGACAAAUACACGUGCGAACUCUCCUAAAAGUCGAAGCGAGUUAAAAAUAGGAGCGUAGAGCGUAAAAAUAAGAAAGAAAAUGACAGAGAAUCGCGGAUAGGAAGUCGCACUUACGUGGACGUAACGCGUACGUAAGGCUGAAAACACACGAUGGGCAGAGGUGUGGAACGUUUCCUCCCCUUCUCCUACGUGCCCCUCGACGUAGUACCUCGAUCUAGUAUCCCCCGACAUCCUCGCCGACCCUCUCAUCACCGAGGUGCGAGGUUGAGCGUAGAUCGAGGGAGUCUAACCAGCGGGUGGCCGAUAGGGGGUCGGGGGGGAGGGAGGUCGAAGAAGAGGGUGGACGACGAGGCUCUCGGCGUUGGGGUGAGGCGCGGCACGACGGUGGCGCGGCCGGCGGGCGGGCGGGGAGAGGGGGGACUCGAGCGGGGGAGAGCAGUGGGAGGAGAAGGAGGAUAGGGCAGGCCGUUAUUUAGCCGGCCGCGCGCGCGUCCCUUCGCGACCGACCCGACUCAGCCGCGCCGCCCUUCACUCGCCCUCGAGCGCCGCUGUGCUCUGCCGCCCCCUCAUCGCUCACGCCCGACUCGACCACCUCUGCACCCUCCUUCCGCCCUCACCCUACUAUCCGACAGCCACCUCUAGCUCCCACACCCUUCGCGCGUUCGCCCUUUUCUCCCUAGCCAUCAACCUUCCCUCUUCGUUCCGCCCGAUCCGUCCCUUCCUCUCUCCCGCUUCGCAACUUCUUCCCCCCUCCCCCCCCCUUUUUUCUUCCUUUCCACUCUCUCUCCUUUUUUCCCCUCUUUUUUCUUCUAGCCAUCCCUACUUCCGUCCUCGUCGCUCUCGCUCGCCACUCGGUCGUCUACUCGUCUCCGUUCCCAUUGCCCUCGCCUGUUCGGGACACGCGGCGGUACCGGCUCACGCGGCGGUUCUUCACGCUGCCCCGACUCGCUAUCUCCGUUUAUCUAAGCCCGACCCUCCUCGUCAGCUCCGUCGUCCUCGAUCGGUCGUCUCGCUCGAUCGCGGCCACUUUUUCUCGCUCGGUCUCCUAUCUCUGUCCAUGGUGAGCGCGCCGCCACGGUUCUGCCACGGAAAACCUCGAGACUCGUUCGUUCGUCCGUCCACGGCGUGGCUCUCUCCGACGUUGGCCGUCCGUCGUUCGCCGAAAUCCCGUGCUAAUUAAAGCCCGCCUCGAUGCCCGUCGCCGGCCGGGGCGAGGAGAGAGAGAGGCGUCCUCCCUCCUUCUCCUUCCUCUAUUUCCUUUCGCUCUAACCGCCGUUCGCCGCGUCUCCAUCUGUCCCAAUCUCUCGCCCCGUCCUCGUCCAACGCACUCUAUCGGUGUCUCCGUCCCUCUCCGCCGACUUUUGCCGCCGUUCCCUCGUUCCGCCCGGCUCGAUCCGCCCGCCCCGCCCCGCGCCUCGCCUCGCCGCCCGCCCGUGUGCUCGUCGCGCCGCGCCACGACCGCGCGCGCACCAAGGAGAAAAUUAAGAAGACUUCGGAGCCGGCUCCUUCAGUCCAUUGUGCCGCGUAUACACGACGAGAGGAGAGCCCGCCGUCCCCGCGCGUAACGGUACUCGCGCGGCAGACGACGACUCGAUGCCUCUUCUCUCUCUCUCUCUCUCUCCUUUUUUUCUUCUUUCCUCGGCUGCCGCUUCGCUGUGCCCCUCGUCGCCCCAACCGGCCCCUUCCCCCCCCUGCCCUGCGCUUCGCUCAGCUGUCUCUUUGUGUGUUGGACGCGGGUAUCGCGUGCACACACGGACCGAACGAGCGGCUGCUGCCUCGAUACGACGCGAUCGCUCGCGUACCAACAACGAGCCGAACGGUUUCACACGUAUAGGCACGAUCGAGUGUCAGAUGGGUAUACACAGUGGAAUAAAAAUAACGCGACUCUUUUAGAGAUCGAAAAUAAUAACAGCGCGGUAAUCACCGUGAUAAUGAACAACGAAGAAUGAAACGUAACUAUGUUGCCAUCGAUCGUACACGCAUAUAUCUUUUAAUAAUUGCCAUUUUUAUCCACGCUUAUGUAAUCGAUUAAUCAAUAAGUCACACGUUUUUCAAAUAUCAAACUGAAUCGAAUUCUCCAUUUCGAUCCUUGAAAAACAAAUAUUGACUUUUACAAUCUCGAUACAAGUAUUUCCAUUAUUCCCUAUCUUACGAGAUGUAUAUCUUUCCCUUUUUAUUCUCGACGCGUGUAAAAACUUUCUUUAUUUUCCGUCUCACCCUAUAGACGCGUAGAAGAAUACAACUAAGCGCGAGGCGCCCGCCGAGAUAAACUCGUGCUCUGCCUUUUAUCUAGAUACAUUCCUCGCGCCUCCUCUCGCGAGACCGCGCUCUCCGCUCUCCUCUCCUCUUCCCUCCUUGCCUCCCCUCACACCGAGCGGGCGUCGUCGUGGUCGUGGUCGUCGUCGUCGUCGCCGGUUGUCGCGGUAUCGCGACCCGUGGCAGCCGGGAGGGGAUGUUCUCGAUGCGUAUAUCCCGGCAGCGGCACUCUGUCGCCGGACGAAACAACGAUACGGAACAACGUCAACGACGACGACGACGACGACGACGACGACGAUGACGGCGACGACGACGACGAUGUGGAUGGAUAGGAAUUGUAGAUACGCGGUCAGCGUUUGCCUCGUCCGCCACAGUUUAUCUGCGACGCACGAGCUUUCUUCCUGUUAGCCGGCUACGAUUCGAUUAAACGCGGCCUUCGUGGGUUUUUCCGCUGAGCUAGGCCUCUUUAAUUCGCGUGUGCCCGCGCGCUAUAACUGGUCACGCUUUCGCACCAUCGAUGACGCACCGAUGUCUCUUCUCUCCUCGAUUACGAUUACGGCUUGUAUCUGAUGCUGUAAAAGUUUAUAUCGUGGAGAGAUUUAGAUUAUAUUGUAUUGAAUCGAAGUAUUUAAUUUUUAGUGGAAUUUGAAAUAGUAUUCUUGAAUUAAACGAUGUUGAAAUAUAAUUUGAAAGGUAUAUAUUGAUAUACAAGUGUUAAAUUGUUCGUAACGUUUUAUGAGUUUGCUAAUAGUCGAAUGAUCGAAUGCCAUUGAUUAAUUUCGGUGGAUAAGGAUAACGAGGUUGAGUAAAGUGAUAUCGGUGCUCGUGAAGGAAUGCCGUUGAACGCGUGCGCUAAUUAAAUAUAAGUAUACUAUUUGCCCGCGAAAGUGUUAACUCUCUAAUAAUUAUCAUGUCGUUCUAUUUGCCUCUUAUAUUAAGUAUUAUUACAUAUCUAUCAGACUAUUAAAAUUAUAUUACGAUUCUUUUCACCAAUUAUAUUACAUCUCAUAUUUCAAAUUAGAAAACCUGAAAUACCGACUGUAAUAAAUUAUAUUUUUAUCGCGAGUAAACAAAAUUUCAGUUUCAAUAUCAAUCUCAAUAUACACACACCAGUCCACCCCUCUCAAUUUAUUUAGAUAGGAUGCGACAUUUCGAAACAUAGUUUUAAGAAUUUUUUUUUCUUUUCUUUACUCUUAAUAUCAUAUGAUAAAUUAUCGUCGAAUCUCGUACAUUCAUAUUUUUUACAAUUGCAAUUUCGGAAUCGAUGGAGAAGAAAAACACGAAACACGAACGCGCGGAAUUUAUCUUCCGUUUCCUUCUUUCCACAUCCUCCCUCCUUUACCUCAUUUCACCAAAAAUUUCCAUCACGAUUUCUCCUUCGCCUCCUGUGUCCCUGCAUGCGGAGGUAUUCCGCCGAAAAAGCGGCGUGGCGCAUUCUCGUCGGCCGCUCUUUCGACCGUUCCUUCUCUCGCUUAAACCGUGCACACUCCCCUCGGCCGGUAUUAAACGGGGCUCGACCGUGGAAUCGCGUACGAGGCCACUCGUCUUGUUUGCCGCGCUUUAUACCUGCCUUUGCUCGCCGUGCCGUCCUCCUUUUUCCCCUCCACCCUCCGCGGAAUCGAACCCGCCAUAAUUACUUGGCAUCAUUUUUGUUCGGAUUAUUCACGCUGUUUAGCGAACCGUCACGGGGAUUCGUAGAGGAUUUCGAAUCGAGAGCGUUGGAUUGGUUAGAAAAGGCGACGGAGGUAAAAAGAUUCGAUUUCGAAGGGGCGAAGAGGGUUGGGCUCGACGACGUUUCCGCUUCCGCGUUGGACACGCGAGGGAAGAAACUCGUCUCGAUUUCGUAUUUCGAUGCGAUAAAACUUGCUACUUUUCCGAUAAAUCGAUCGUCGUCAAUGGUUUUAUAUAUAUAAAAUCGAUGAAUUUUUAUAAAAUAUUUUUUUCUUAUUAAUUUUUAUUUAUUUUUAAAACGUUAGAGUUAUACGUAAAGUUUGUAUAUCUAUCUACUUAAAACAUAUAUACACGCGAAAGCACAAAUUUAAGGAUCGUAUUCUAUCCAAUGUCAUAUAAACACACGUCCGGAAGUGUGGUUCCCAAGAUACAAACAGUGUUCGUUUACUUGGCAAGUUGAAGGAAUUACCAAAAGUGAUUUUCUGCUGUGUACGUUGACUACAGUUGAGUCAUCUGAUCAUAAAUAUUGAGAGUAGUAUUUACUACUAGUCCGAAAAACGUUGCGGUUUUAAACCUUUAAAUUUCAAACAAACUGUAAAUAUAAGUGUUAUUCGAAGGAAAGAAAAUGGUAAAGAGUAAAAAGGAAUAUACAUCGUAUAAAAAUAAAUUUAUAUUUGCUCGAUAAAAAAGAAGGAAAGAAAGAAAGAAAGAAAAAAAGAUAAGAUAAUUUUUAAAAGCUAAGAAAUUGAAAAGAAUCGUACAAGCAGAAUCGCUCGUUCGUCCACGACCUUGCGACUUUACGACCGUUUCCACGCGGAUCGACCUUCCUCUCUCGCCAGCUCGGAAGCCCCGACCAUUCUGGAAUUCCAAUUAAUCUCGCGUCGUUACGCGUUAAGUACGCGACCACCGAACUACGUUAUCGGCACGGGAAUAAAAACCACGGCCGGUGUAAAUUAACCGAACGAUUCGCCAAGAGACCCUCAUCCGUCCAAUAAUUGGCGAAUGCGAUUAGAUGGAAGAGAAGGGGAGGGGGCAGAGUAUGGAUCAGUCGGACUCGACGCGGACGAAGGACACCAUGUCCUUGCGACUCUACUACGACUCGGAAAUAAACACGUACGCCUCUCGUUUAUAUCCUUACGCUUAGGGGAUUGUCUGUCAGGGGGAGAGCAUCCCCAGGAUGCGAAAUUUCGAUUUAAUUUUCGAGGGUGCAAAAGAUUGAAGAUCGAGCGUUUAUUGGCGAUAAACGUUUCGAUAUCGUAUAUAUAUAUAUUCGUUAUAACCUUUCAAAUUAAUUUUUGAUAACUUCACUUAUCUUUUUUAAACAAUUUUUUCGCAUCGUCAACUUUUUCCCAAAAUCUCUAAUUUCAUUUCGAACACGCGCCAAGUGAUUUCAAAGUUAGAUAAAGGAGCGUGGCCCUAGAGGCGAGCGGGUACGUCGUUGCCCGUUUCUCUCGCGUGAAAUUUAAAGGCGGUCGCCUCUCCUCUCGGCCGUGGCGUUCGCGAGAAGGGACUGGGGGCCCUCGAUCGAUCGGUGCCCGCAUAGUCGCGAGCGUGUAGAGGCGGUUGUUUGUCGGCUGGACGGCCACCGUUGCCCGCCAUCGACGUCGUCUGGUGAAACCUCGCCACCGGCCUCGCCUACUAUACCUACGUUCCCUUUGGACAAACUUUUUAUUGCCGGAUUUUCCCUGUAAUCUCGAAUAAUUAACGACGAACCCCCUUGUACAACUAUGGGUUUACCGAGGUCGGCGGAGGAAGGCUCGACCUAUGAGAAGAGUAAGAACAAGAAGAAGAAGAAGAAAAAGGAAAGGAAGAAAAAAAAAAGGAGAGGUAUCCACGUAGGUCGUGGCAGUGUUCGGGUCUAUAAGACGACCACGCCACAGAAGAGACUUCCCUUGUCCCUCAUUCGACUUCCAACCCUCCCUCCCUCCCUCCCUUUUUUUCCCCUCCCUUUUUCUUCCUCCUCUAUGACCGUCCUGUUCGAUCCUUCCGAGAAAACAGCUCUCCGCGCGCUUCGCCUACCGCUAUACCUACGCCCGUUUUCCUCUUGGCCGUCGACUUAACGGCCGCACCUGCUACCACCUCGCCUCGUUUCGACGACCGACCGCGCGAAUUUCUUCCCUUCGACGUGCCCUCCCAACACGGACGAGACCGUAUUUCCGCUCGGCGAGCGCGCUUCCCUUUCAGACAAACUGGAAAUCCUUCCCCGCUUUUAACAUCGAUCGUGAAAAAAAUAAAAUUUUCUUUCCUCGCGAUUGUUUAAUUUUAUCGGUGUAAAUAUGUGAUUUUUUAAAAAUUACUUUUAAUCUUCUUCGAAAGUUCUCGCGGUUUUGGAAAAAGAGAUAUUUCGUUCGUGUGCACUCGUGGCAAUAAACGAAGUAAAGGAAAAUGCCCGAUGAUUAGGAAAGUUCAAUGGUUGGAUGACUAAUAAGAGAAAGUGUAAGAGGGACAAGGAUGAAUCAGAGAGGUUUAGAUUUGGCUAUCGCGAGUAGCUUUACGUUUUCGGUAUAGAACCCCAUAGAAAUGGCGUUUCGGUGGAGAAAUAUUAAUCUAUUACAAGAGUAUUCCGAAGAGAUUAAGAAUCUCUUCCGGGUAAAGCGUCGUGUUUGUCCCCCACUUGGAGGCAAUCUUUAAAGAGAUAGAUCGCCAGUUGAGGAGAUUAUCGGUUCCAGUGCUCGAUCAAAGAUCAAGUUCGGGAACGAGGCUGUAAAUAACUUUCUACCUCUCAGCCAUUGACGCUUCGUGAAUUCUUGGCGAAUUUUCUCUUGCGAUUUUAACCCAUCCCUAAUUCGUAUCACAAUCGAGAACCCGUCUUCGAAUCUCGUCUAAAGAUCUCUCGGAAUAAUAUUCCAAUCCUAACUAAAUUUCCCAAUCUUUUUCUCCCGAUAAAUAAAAUUAAAUUAUAAUAUUAAUUAUCACACGAUUUCACGAUCAUCGAAAAGUAAUAAUAAAAAAAAAUUUUUCUACAUAUUUUUAAAAGUCAGAUCUUUAUUUUUCGUCGUAUAAAAUUAAAUUCCGCGUGAAAAUCGGAUAUUCCAAAAAUAAUACCAACGCGAUAGCCACAGCACAAUCUAAACGCAAUGGAAACUCGAAGAAGAAGAAGAAGAAGAAGAGGAAUGGUGAUCGAGUGGCUCGAGGAAGGACGCACCCCGAUAUAAAUCGAGAAGGACACCGGUUGGCGUUACGUAAUCGACGAUGGCGAAGGCGGCUCGCGUUCUCUUUAUCCUUUUCCUUCCAACCGGGGCCUUCGUCGCGCUCUCUCUCUCUCUCUCUCUCUCGCUCCCUUCUCAGAUCGCAUUUUCAAGUUACGAAUGCUCGCGCGUCUACGACACCGGCGUUGUUCCUUUUUCCUCGUGAAUAAGCGGAUAUAUUGCAUAAGGCUGGCGAGCGCAACUACCUGUCGUACGCUCCAGAGAUGUUAUAUUUAACCGUGCGGACCCAUCGCACCACCGCCUCUCUCUCUCUCUCUCUCUCUACGGUCGUACUUUUUCCCUUAACCGCCUCGCGAGACCGUUCGCCUUCUAAUUUUAGAGGUUUUCGAUUAUGUAAUGCGCGUGUCGUUACCGAACUAGAAGAGGGGUAUCGUGUGUACAGGCAACCAUCCGUGGAAUUGCAAUCGAGCAUCCGUUCGAUUUUCUACCGUUGUAUCCCGGCCUUUGUUCAACCUUUUAAAUUAGAAUUCGUAAUUCGAAAGUAGGAUACGAGUAAACGUUUAUUGAAAAUUUUUCGUACCGAUUGAUCGUCCUCUCUCGUUUCCUCUUCGUGAAAAAAUUAAAUUUUUCUUUCCAAAUAUUUUUCUAUCGAUUAUCUUUAUAAAAUGGGGAUUCGAUUAACGGAUUUAAAGUCAACAAGUGUCUGUGUAACGCUUAAAAGAUCCAUCCAUCGACGAGUGACUGAUGUUUAUUAAACGAAUCAUUAAGUCACGCGAUAGAAGCAAGUUAAUCCACCAUAUUCGCCUGUCCCUUUAUGUUUGCACAUAGGGUGCGUCACACGGAGAGAGAGAACGAUAUACCUUCGGGCAAUAAUCACACCUUGGCCACCCUCGAAUCUCGAAACUUCGUAUUUAUGAUCAAUCUCGUUAAAGAAGAUGGCUCUUUUUAAUUUAUUUUUAUCAUAAAGAUAAAAUAUACGAUAUAAAUAUUUUGAAAAAUGAUAUAAAGUUCGAUUCAAAAUUCUAAUUAAAAAAUAAAGGAACGUUUAAUUUAACAACACCCUUUCCACCCCUGCUCGAACACGAUCGUCUGACGAACGAGAAUAUAUAUGCAAUCUAUUUUCGCGAAUUCACGUCAGCGCGACGCUGAAACUGCGUCACUACGGGAUUUCCUGACAUUAAGACCCGAUCCCUGGCUUCCCAGCAACUGGUCAAGCGAUGCAAACGCCAUCACGUUCGCGAAAAAUUAAUAAACCCCGCAGAUUCGCGAAAUCCCUAGAGAAUAAUAACCGAGGGAUCCGAAGAGAGAGAGAGAGAGAGAGAGAGAGAAAUCGGACAGAAAAUUUCCAUCGAAAAUGACGCUAGAUGUACGACGAAAACGAUAGCGAGUCGUUUACGAUAACAUCGCGAACUUCAUAACAUUAAUCUCGUAGCGAAUAGCGUAGAAAGCGAAAUGACGAUAUGUGUAAGGAAUUAAAGAGAUAUUAUCAGAUGGAAAUAUUCUAAUUGUAAUGUGUGAACUUAUUUGUAAAUAUUUAUUGAAAUAUAUAAUCUUUGUUGUUAUUACGAUAUUUAGAUUUAAUGAGAAUACUUUCCGAAGUGACCUAGAAAUCGAUUAAAUUUCACUGAGAAAUUGAAAUGAUGUGUAUAUUAAAUAGAUGCACUUGUAAUCAAGAUAUUCUUAGAUCAUGUCGCAAAUAAUCUUAUACAAAUAUGUAUUAUAUUAAAUAUUCUGAUCGUAAAUUUUGAGAAAUAUACAUAAUCGAAAUAUUUAGACAUUAUUAUAUAUCAAUAUAUCGAUCAUUAUUCUAAACUUGUCAACAUAUUUUCGCCCGAUAGAAAAUUAUAGAAAACGAUCGCGACGAUCGAUCGUCUCACAACGGAAUACGAGGCGUUCUCUUUAAACGAUUCGUAUAAUUCGCGAAGAAGGCGGUGGACAGGCAAGUGAGCCACCGCCUCCUGUCGAAUUCUUUUUCUUUCCAAACCGAGUGACCUUUACAUUCCUAAUCGUGACCACGCGAAUUCUUGCUACGUCCUUUCGGCGUACCUGCGGAAGACGAGAGCGGCGUGUGGCCGCGCCAUUUCCAGCGCGCAUGCCUUCUGGCCAUCUCAGCGGGCUCCUCUCUCUCUCUCUCUCUCUCUCGCUCCCUCUUUCUCGCUCCCUCUCUCUCGCUCUUCCUAUUCGUCGCCGCGCGUUCGUGUCCGUGGUUCGUGUUCGUGAGAGAGGCUGCAGCAGCCUCUGACGGGAAGGGCACGAUCGGAAAAUUAACGACCCCUCGAGCGUUAACUCCCGACUCCGAGGUCGGUUCUCGGUCCGCUCGUUCGUUAAGUCCCUCCUCGAGUUCUCGCGACUCACGCCGCGUUUUCAGCUAUCGCCGUUCCUCUCUUCACCCCGGGUACCCUUCCACCCGUGGCUCUCUGCCCGCUACACCCCCCCCUCCGUUCCCUCGGCUGCCCGUUUCACGUCCUCCCCGUCCCCGUACCCCGCCACGGUCGUCUGUGUCGGGUUCCUCUUGGCGUUCUCCGCUUACUGCCACCACCACUAUCUCCCUCUCUCUCGUUCUCGCGCGGACGCACCGUCUGUCCGUCUCUCUCUCGCUCUCGCUCUUUCAUUUUACGCUUCUCUCUCUCUCUCUCUCUCUCUCUCGCUCGCGUUCUCGUUCGCUCGGUUAGUCCGUUCUCGGUCUCGCUCGCAUCGUUCCUUUCCCCUAACCAUCGCUAACGGGUCUACCCCCCGAGCUACGAAUCGGAGAUUGGCGGAGAGACCGGUCGAUUAUCUAUAAUCGAUAGGAACUACCGGUAUAUUGGUGUAUACGCGGUGCGUGGCGCGCCGUGGAUGCCACGCAGAGAGCGACCGGCUUAAAUACGCGAGCUGGACACACACCGCGAAACUCUACGCCCGCGAACUAUGACGAGCGAGGGUUUAAUUAGGGGAAUAUCGCGUGACGAUCGUUGGGAAGAUUGCUUCGUAUAAGAAGUGGAGCGAGAGUAAUGCAACUCUCGGGCUUAGAUGAUUGAAAUAAACCUGUCCGACAAGGGUGGAUGAAUUGUGAGAUGUAUCGAGGUAACUGGGCUUCGCGAUUAAUUAACCGAAGCAAUGCAAUUAAUGUAUAAUUACUACUAGGGAUAUCUUUUUUCUUUCUUUCUUUCUUUUUUUUUUUUUGGUAUAACGUUAAGAAAUUUGAGAACCGAGUGAAAAAAAUCUUAAGUUUAUAAUGUUAUUUGAAGAUUUGUUUUUUUAAUUCGUACAAAUUAUUUAUCAUUCAACGAAAUAAAUGCAUCAAUCGACAUUCCGAUAAAUUCGGAAAACGAGAAUCCAAUCCAAUUUGAAUUUAACGAUAUGUUUACAUAUUAAUGAAAUCAUCUAGAAUCUGUAUAUCAUCGAAUUCAAAAUUAUUCAACGAUAAAACGUUGACAUCGAAAAAUUUGAAUUCAAGAUCGAGCGUGAAAAUUUGAAACGUUAGGCGACAGCAGCGCGCAACGAAUUAGCAACGUUCGUUUUUAUCCGGGUUAUAUCGCAGUUGCCUCGUGGCCUGGGGCCGAGCAGGUGGUUCGUGCCACGAGUUAUUGCGGUAAACGAUAUGCGCUUCCUCGAAGGAAUUAGCCACGACAAUGGCCCGAUUAAAUUUCGUAACAGUUCCCUCCCUCACCAGUUAUCUCACACUCGGAAUAACAAUUUUGAACAUUUCGAAGAAACCACGCUCAAAACUUUUCAUAGAAUUUAAUCUGAAAUAACCUUCGACUGGUUUCGCGGCCGAUCGUUAUUCCGGUUCACGGAUCCGCUCGACGAUAUCGCGAGGCAACCGCGCGUAUCCUCGACGACGAAGAAGAGGAGGAGGAGGA